rnacentral:lncRNA from 1 species
GGGCAGAGGAAAUCAAGUAGAAAGUGCAGAUGCACACAUUACACUCAGGGAGGCUAUAGCAGCUGGGUAUUGCAUUCUGCUGAUUUCCAAAGGAACCAGUUUAUGGAUCAGCUUAAAGAUAACUUGGUCAUCUGUCACAGGACAUCUGCUUCCUGUAAACUGACUCUAUCCUUUCUUUUCACUUACAGCCCUGACCACUGAACCACUGUGGUUUAAUUAUGCAAAACUGGGGUUGAAGAUUCAAGAUAUUGCUCAGAUUGUUUUGCAGUAAACUCUUCUGAUUCAGCAGUGUCAGCAGGAAGGAGCCCAUGGAUGCCAAACUAACUCCAUCUCUGCAGCCUGUUGUGCCAUCACAUGAAAAUAGGAUUCUUGCUUCUGGAUCACUCAGCUCUGUUGUGCAGGUCAAAGCAGGACGUGAUGCUACAUGGAAAGACAAGCCAAGGAGAGCUUGCUCAGGUUUCCUUACAUUCCAAAAAAAAAGAGCCAGGUGUAAGAGCUUGGAGUAAUUUGAAGUUAAUCUCCUACUGAUACCUUCAAGCUUGAAAGCUUUAUGAGCAUCUCUGCUACACUCCUCAAGAAAACUGCCUGAUCAAAGCUGCCCAAACAUGGUAUGUCUGUGACUCCAUUUCCCUCUGCACUGUGGAGCUGGAUUCAUGUCACCAGGUAGGUGCCACUCUUUUUCCAGAAGGACAGUAACAAAGUUUGUUCCCCUGUGUGUUAAAGAAA